UACAGAGGUCUCAAGCGUUGUUCGGAUUCAUUGGGCGUAAAGGGUGCGUAGGCGGCGCGGUAAGUCGGGUGUGAAAUCUUGGAGCUUAACUCCGAAACUGCAUUUGAUACUGGCGUGCUUGAGGACUGGAGAGGAGACUGGAAUUCAUGGUGUAGCAGUGAAAUGCGUAGAGAUCAUGAGGAAGACCAGUGGCGAAGGCGGGUCUCUGGACAGUUCCUGACACUGAGGCACGAAGGCCAGGGGAGCAAACGGGG
rnacentral:rRNA from 1 species